rnacentral:rRNA from 1 species
UACGUAGGGGGCAAGCGCUGUCCGGAAUCAUUGGGCGUAAAGAGCGUGUAGGCGGCCCGAUAAGUCCGCUGUGAAAGUCCAGGGCUCAACCCUGGAAUGCCGGUGGAUACUGUCGGGCUCGAGUCCGGUAGGGGAGUGUGGAAUUCCCGGUGUAGCGGUGAAAUGCGCAGAUAUCGGGAGGAACACCAGUAGCGAAGGCGGCACUCUGGGCCGGUACUGACGCUGAGGAGCGAAAGCGUGGGGAGCGAACAGG